rfam:Bacteroides luti strain DSM 26991 genome assembly, contig: Ga0131163_108
CCCAUCAAAACAAAAUGAGAAUGAAAACAAUUUUAGUAAAUGCAUGUUGGUGGCGCUUCUUACAACCUCGAAAGUCGUAAGGAAGCAGUACUCAUGUAUAUAUACUAAAUAAAUUCAAAGGAUAUUAUCAGAGGCCUGUC